UUCAUUCUCUUAUAUAGGACGCUGCCAAGGACGCACUUGGCCGGCUGAAGAUGGUUGAGAAUGAGCUGGAAUCUCUGAAAAGGAAACGCACGGGAUGAGAGGAGAGUGAGGGAGUGGAGGCUUGGCUGGAGCACUGUUAUUUCAUCCCUCUCAUUCACACUCGUAUACAAACACUACAGCGAGUACUACAGCACCUUUAGCAUGAUUCUAUGCUUCUCAUGUCCUUGACAACCGCAUGAACCAACCGCAAAAAUUAAUCAUAUAACUUGUAUCACUUGUGGUUAGACGCCCGCAACGGAAAUUAAAAACUAAUCUGUACCUACAAAGGGACACAGAAAUUACAGCAAGCAUUACAACGUGUUAACAGUUAAGGGAAAGGAGGAUUAUUUGCACUUAAAUACUAAAGAAAGCUGCUUGUAAAGCACGGCUUUACAGACAUUACCUGUGCCCUGUUAAUUGUUUCUUUUUUAAAUCAAAUUUUUCUGUAAAUUGUCAAUGAAGAGAUCUUUCAUAGGAUUGUUAGAUUUUGCAGCAGCCCCCAGAGUAUGUUGGUGUCCGCAGAUGACCAAAAGAUAUGUGUGUAUGUGUGUGUGCUCUAACGUGUGUUUAACCAACAAACUGAGGUGUUCUUAACCCCUUUUCCCAUAUUUUAUGUGUGUAAUGAGCUUAAUCUAAUCUGUCUGCUCCAGUGUUCCCAGAUUACAGUAAUCUGCUCCGUUUGGAGUGGUGUGAUAUGGGAAUAAAAAAAUGGGGCUUCGGGGCGCUGCAGCCUACAUCCCAUAAUGAGGGAUUAGUGUUUGUGUCACCAAGGAGACGAAUAGAUCAGACGUAGAGUCGCCUUUAGGGCUGGGGAGAGGGGGGUGUUAGGAACGCACCAUGAAUGUGGUGAAAGCUGCAAAAGCUUCUUCUUCUGCUUUUUUAUCAGCCGUUUCUUCUUCACUGUCUUCACACAAAGUCCUUGGCAUUUAUUCAAAGAUUAUUUAGAGUCGCAAGUAAUAAACCGCUCCACUUGGAUUUUAUUCAAACUGUUAAACAAUAUCAAGCCCAUUAUGCCACCUAUUAGAGAAUAAUUAACAGCUGCUGCGUCAGUGUGUUGCUAUUUUCCACCAUUUUCUUUUUUGGCAUAUGCAGUUUACUAAACAAGAUUUGUCCCACUGAGCUCUAAAGUGGCAGCACAGUGGAUGGUGAAUAGUCUGCAAACAGGAAUACAAUCCAAUAAGUGUCUGUGAGGCUGGGUUAUGGCUCAUUUCUAUUUCUGUUGCCCCAAAGACAUCCCUGUCAUAGGCAUCCUUGUCAUUCCUUUCCACUUUACCCUAAUUGGUACCGUGAAGUCAAGAUUCAGACGAACCCUGUAAGACUUAAUGAGAUGUGUGAUAAUUGCAGACAUCUGGAAAUUAAUAAUUUUGCCACAACAACACCAGAUGUCAAAAUGUCUCUGCCAUGAAUUCCCUGGACAGAUGUUUCCUCCGUGUGUUUGACAACUUGCUAACUGUUGAUCCACGCUGAGUAUGCAGCCAGGAUGUAGCAGACUAUUUAAAUGAGCCUUACUGUAUGUUUUUAUUUGACUCUUCAUAGUGGAUAUAUGUGAACUCCACUAAUAGUUUUUCGGUCAAGUGACAGGAAUCAUGUGUUUACUGUAAUCCACCCACUGCCUCACCCCAUUAGCAAAUAAUCCUGGUCAAAGUUGACCUGAUAGGCCUCCAUAGUCUCUGUUGAUUUGUAUGUAAAACCCCAUCCCCCACGUUUUAUUUUAAUCUAUCAGGAGAGGAUAUCUUCUGAAGCUUUGUAAAUGUUUCGUUAUGCUUUUGAUCAGUUUAUUAGACGGACGGGGCAGUGGGAGGACAGUUGAAUGCCUAAAGUCACAUGAUGGCAUUUAGUUUAAUAUGCACGUGGCUCUUAAAGCACGAUAGCAGUGUGGGUGCAACUUUUAUCAAAAAUACUUUAUGCAGCACAGUUUCAGAGUUGAUGUAUUUUCCCAAGAGUCAGGCAUGUGUUUCCAUUUAUUUUAGUGCAGUACGAAAAUCAUUUAGCGUUAAUGGAAAUGAAUGGCUUUCUGAAACGGAAUAAUUAAAUUGCCAAACAAGUAAGUGUCUCUUACAAUGUUCUAAAACCCAAGGCUUCAAAUGUCUUGUUAUGUCAGAAUGACAACGAAAAACAGAUAUUACAUUUACUUUCACAUAAGACAAAAAAAUUAUAUAUAUUAUCAGCAUAGAGCUUUUUGACUUGACGUAUGACUCAAACGACAACAAAUAUUGGAAUAAUUAACCAUCAAACUGUUUUAGACAGCAAAAGUAUUUAACACUUCUUAAACACAGCAACAUGUUUUUUUCUCCUAUUAUGAGCUGUGAUGUGAUUUCUGUGGCUUGUAGUAAAUGGGCUAACAACCAGCAGUUUGGUCCUGCAACAGAACUUUUCUUUGGCAAUCAACAUAGUCAAGUAAAGCUAAAUGUGACACGUAUCUCUGAUAUAAAGCCCAGUUUGUAACUCUUUCCAUGUUUUAACGCCUUGACAGAAACUGGAGCUGAGUAGCAGCCCUUUCUUUCACUCUAAAACCUUUAACCCCAUGUCACCUCAAACACACACACACACACCUGCAACAUCACCCCACCCCACUCCAGUAACCUCAUGGCCUCUGAGGCUGGGCCUGUUGUCAGGGCAACAUGCACAUCAGCAUUCAGUGUGGUUGUUGGAUGUUCAGGACCCUUGCAGAGGGACAUAUUGUUAAAGUUUGUCCUGCUGGUGACUCACACUCAUACCCCACACACUCCUUAUUUGUUGUGUUUGUUUGUUUGCUUUCUUCUCUGUUUGAUCCUACUCUGUAAUGCGGAUGCACUCCCGUUAAAAAAAAGAAGAACGUUUGGUGUCAUUUUCUGUUAAUAUUUCUGUCCUGAUUUGCUGCAGUAAAUGUAAUUAUCUGAGCUUGGGAAAAAUAUAUUCUUGAACUUAUUACCUUUUUUUUAUCUGUUAAAUCAUGUAAGGGCAAUCAAUAUAAAUGUAAUAUUUGUAUACAGUAAAUAUACAGCAUAUGUAUGUAUCUGUCUCUAUUUUUACUUGUAAGUCUAGAUAGAAGAUGUGUGCAGAUUAAACAGGGGAAUGUAUGAAAGCCUGAUUAUUAAGGUUUUAUUAUCUUCUGAAUGAGGUUGGUGUUAACAUGAAUAAAAUGGUGAUACAG